GAAAUGCGAUAAGUAAUGUGAAUUGCAGAAUUCAGUGAAUCAUCGAAUCUUUGAACGCACAUUGCGCCCGCCAGUAUUCUGGCGGGCAUGCCUGUCCGAGCGUCAUUUCAACCAUCAAGCCCCCGGGCUUGUGUUGGGGACCUGCGGCGGCCCGCGUCCAACAAGCUGAACCCCCCCGUCUUUGACCUCGGAUCAGGUAGGGAUACCCGCUGAACUUAAGC
rnacentral:misc_RNA from 1 species